UACGUAGGGUGCGAGCGUUAAUCGGAAUUACUGGGCGUAAAGCGUGCGCAGGCGGUUAUGUAAGACAGUUGUGAAAUCCCCGGGCUCAACCUGGGAAUUGCAUCUGUGACUGCAUAGCUAGAGUACGGUAGAGGGGGGAUGGAAUUCCGCGUGUAGCAGUGAAAUGCGUAGAUAUGCGGAGGAACACCGAUGGCGAAGGCAAUCCCCUGGACCUGUACUGACGCUCAUGCACGAAAGCGUGGGGGAGCAAACAGG
rnacentral:rRNA from 1 species